rnacentral:tRNA from 1 species
AAAAACUUAGGACUAACUAAACCAAGAGCCUUCAAAGCUCAAAAUAGGAGUGAAAACCCCCUAGUUUUUG